rnacentral:rRNA from 1 species
AUGCCGGCCCUGUUCCGCCGCCGCUCCUCCUCCAAGUCGCGGUCCGCCUCGCCGCCGCCGCCGCAGGACGAGCAGCAGGAGGGCACCCGGCCUGCGUCGGGCGCGGGGUCCCCGGCGCGGUCGGCGGAGGAGGAGAUGGAGCGGGUGUUCCGCAAGUUCGACGCCAACGGCGACGGCCGGAUCUCGCGGCCGGAGCUGGCCGCCCUCUUCGACAGCCUGGGCCACGCGGCCACGGAGGACGAGCUGACCCGCAUGAUGGCCGAGGCGGACGCGGACGGCGACGGCUUCAUCAGCCUGGAGGAGUUCGCGGCGCUGAACGCCACCGCGCCCGGCGACGACGAGGAGGACCUGCGGCUGGCCUUCAAGGUGUUCGACGCGGACGGCAGCGGCGACAUCUCGGCCGCCGAGCUGGCGCGCGUGCUCCACGGCCUCGGCGAGAAGGCCACGGUGCAGCAGUGCCGGCGCAUGAUCGAGGGCGUCGACAAGAACGGCGACGGGCUCAUCUCCUUCGACGAGUUCAAGGUCAUGAUGGCCUCCGGCUUCACCGCCAAGAUGGCCUGA